rnacentral:rRNA from 1 species
CGUAGGGUGCGAGCGUUAAUCGGAAUUACUGGGCGUAAAGUGUGCGCAGGUGGCCGCGCAAGUCGGGUGUGAAAUCCCCGAGCUUAACUUGGGAAUUGCGCUCGAAACUACGUGGCUCGAGUGUGGCAGAGGAAGGUGGAAUUCCACGUGUAGCGGUGAAAUGCGUAGAGAUGUGGAGGAACACCGAUGGCGAAGGCAGCCUUCUGGGCCAACACUGACGCUCAUGCACGAAAGCGUGGGGAGCAAACAGGAUUAGAUACCCUGGUAGUCCACGCCCUAAACGAUGAUGACUAGUUGUUGGGGGAGUUAAAUCCCUUAGUAACGCAGCUAACGCGUGAAGUCAUCCGCCUGGGGAGUACGGUCGCAAGAUUA